rnacentral:rRNA from 1 species
GGCGGCUCGAGUGGUAACCGUUAUUAUUGGGUCUAAAGGGUCUGUAGCCGGCCGGAUAAGUCUCUUGGGAAAUCCAGCAGCUCAACUGUUGGGCUUUCAGGAGAUACUGUUCGGCUCGAGGCCGGGAGAGGUGAGAGGUACUUCAGGGGUAGGGGUGAAAUCUUGUAAUCCUUGAAGGACCACCAGUGGCGAAGGCGUCUCACCAGAACGGACCUGACGGCAAGGGACGAAAGCUAGGGGCACGAACC